GAUGAACGCUGGCGGCGUGCCUAAUACAUGCAAGUCGAGCGAACAGACGAGGAGCUUGCUCCUUCGACGUUAGCGGCGGACGGGCGAGUAACACGUAGGUAACCUACCUAUAAGACUGGGAUAACUUCGGGAAACCGGAGCUAAUACCGGAUAAUAUUUCGAACCGCAUGGUUCGAUAGUGAAAGAUGGCUUUGCUAUCACUUAUAGAUGGACCUGCGCCGUAUUAGCUAGUUGGUAAGGUAACGGCUUACCAAGGCAACGAUACGUAGCCGACCUGAGAGGGUGAGCGGCCACACUGGAACUGAGACACGGUCCAGACGCCUGCGGGAGGCAGCAUUAGGGAAUCUUCCGCAAUGGGCGAAAGCCUGACGGAGCAACGCCGCGUGAGGGAUGAAGGUCUUCGGAUCUUAAAACUCUGUUAUUAGGGAAGAACAAACGUGUAAGUAACUGUGCACGUCUUGACGGUACCUAAUCAGAAAGCCACGGCUAACUACGUG
rnacentral:rRNA from 1 species